AUUGAACGCUGGCGGCAGGCCUAACACAUGCAAGUCGAACGAGUGGCGGACGGGUGAGUAAUGUCUGGGAAACUGCCUGAUGGAGGGGGAUAACUACUGGAAACGGUAGCUAAUACCGCAUACCAUCGGAUGUGCCCAGAUGGGAUUAGCUAUUAGGUGGGGAAAAGGCUCACCUAGGCGACGAUCCCUAGCUGGUCUGAGAGGAGGACCAGCCAAACGGGAACUGAGACACGGUCCAGACUCCUACGGCAGGAAGCAGUGGGGAAGAUUGCACAAUGGGCGCAAGCCUGAUGCAGCAAUGCAGCGUGUAUGAAGAAGGCCUGCGGGUUGUAAAGUACUUUCAGCGGGGAGGCGUUACCAGCAGAAGAAGCACCGGCUAACUCCGUGCCAGCAGCCGCGGUAAUUC
rnacentral:rRNA from 1 species